GGGGAUUUGGCUCAGUGGUAGAGCGCUUGCCUAGCAAGCGCAAGGCCCUGGGUUCCAUCCCCAGCUCCA
rnacentral:tRNA from 1 species